AAUAUACAACUAAAACAUACACAAUGUAAUACUCGUAGACGUGUCAUACAUCGAAAUGUCCAACAUAUAUGUGUUUUAAUUAUAGAAAUUCGAUAAAUUCUCAUUAAUCGUUUACCAGCGUAUAUCGUAAUGUUUAAUAAGUUGAAUUAUAAACUCAAUGGUUAUCACGAGUGUUCUUUUAUGUACCACUUUCACUGCAUUUUGGGGAAUGAACCCCUAUUCUGUAAGAAUGACACCAAAAGGUAAUUGUACCGAAUGUUGCCCUAUCGAAGAAAAAGAAGAUAUAGGCUUUUAUCUUUAUACCAGGUCUAAUACGAUGACACCUCAACGUCUAUGGGUGGAUAAUGCUACUUCUUUAUACGAAUCCAAUUUGAAAAUGUACCACCCGACUGUCAUUUACGUUCACGGGUUCACUGAACAAGCCAAUGCCAAAGGAGCAACGACCGUUAAAAAUGCUUAUUUAAUGCGAGGUUCGUACAACGUCAUUGUCGUAGACUGGAGCCCUCUAUGUGCAUUUCCAUGGUACGCUCACGCCGUCGUAAAUACUCACGCUGUCGGAUUGUAUUUAGCGAAAUUCGUCAGAUUUAUCGUCAGACACGGUGUACCCAUAAAAAGCAUACAUUUGAUAGGUUUCAGUUUGGGAGCAGAAAUCGUCGGAUUUACCGGAAAAGACACGACUUUUGGAAAAUUACCUAGAAUUACAGGGUUAGAUCCUGCUUUCCCUCUAUACAUGUUCUCAGGGAAACAAGGCCAUCUAGCAUCAACUGAUGCGGAAUUCGUUGACGUCAUUCACACGGAUGGCGGCGUAUUUGGAUUCCCAAUUGCUUUGGGUGACGCUGAUUUCUUCCCUAAUGGUGGUUUUCCAGCUCAACCCGGCUGCAGGAUUAAUUCAUUAUUGCAAAAGAAUCAAAUCAAGAGAAUUGUUUCCUGUAGUCACGAUCGAGCUUGGCAAUAUUACGCCGAAUCUAUUCUCAACGAAAAAGGGUUUCCAGCGGUCAGAUGCGCCAAUUACGAAACAUUCUUAGCCGGAGUUUGCCAUCAACAUUCAGAUCCUCGAACGAACAGGAGCGAAAUUCAAUACAUGGGAUUUGCAGCUAAUCCUCGCCUGAAGGGGAAAUUUUUCCUCGCCACCAAUAGCAGAGAACCAUUCGCGACUAAUUACAGAAAAUUAUGAAGAUAUUUUGACAAAUUUCUUCAAUCAUCAGUUAUCACCGCAAAACCUACUUAAUUUUGAUUUGCGGAUCGAAAAAUCAUACCCACAAACAGUCAAGUCGGGCAAGAUGACGCACCAAGGAAAGAUGCCGAAACUGUGACCAGACUUCUAAAAUAUUCAAACACAAUUUUCCUGAAUCUGUACCUGCUGAUUCAAGUAACAACUUUUUUCAAGAGCCGAAAAAAUUCAACAAUUCAUAAUUAAAGGAGCUGAAUUUGAUUCUGGUCCUUUCAAUAGUAAUAUUUUCCAAACUGGAAGAUUCAAAAAACCACUGGAAGCUUUAGAAUGACUCGAAGCCUCCAAAAAUCGAUUCGAGAAUUCAAUAAAAAUGAAUAGCUUUCAACCUCGAUUUAAUUAAACGUUGAAAUAAUCUUAAUUCCAAGAGGUGCGUUACUUUUUUUUUUUUUUUUAGUUUUUGGUUUUGGGAGAAUUUAAGUUUUGUUAAGUUAUGUUCUGAUUUUUUUUAGUUUUAGUUUUAGGGGAAAUAUAGGUUUUAAGUAUUAUACUUAUGUUUUGAUUGGUUAAUAAAAAUUUAGUUUUGUAUUGUU